UGUUAAAGGGGGCGGGGCCUGGGCGGUCCCGGGGGGGCUCCCAAUGAUCCCAGCCCCCCCCUCCCCCCUGGCGUUCGGUAACUGGGAUGGACUGGGAUGGACUGGGAUGGACUGGGAAUGGAUUGGUCCAGGGGAACUGGGCCAAACUGGGCCAAACUGGGCCAAACUGGUCCGGACUGGUCCAGGGGAACUGGGAAUUCUGGGCCCAAACUGGUCCAGACUGGUCUGGACUGGUCCAAACUGGUCCAAACUGGUCCAGGGAACUGGGAAUUCUGGGUCCAAACUGGGCCAAACUGGUCCAGGGAACUGGGAAUUCUGGGUCCAAACUGGUCUGGACUGGUCCAGGGGAACUGGGAAUUCUGGGUCCAAACUGGGCCAAACUGGUCCAAACUGGCCCAGGGAACUGGGAAUUGCGAGUCCAAACUGGUCCGGACCGGUCCAGGGAACUGGGAAUUCUGGGUCCAAACUGGGCCAAACUGGGCCAAACUGGUCCAGGGGACUGGGGGAUACUGGUCAGGGGAACUGGAGCAAGCUGGUCCAAACUGGUCCAGACUGGUCCGGACUGGUCCAGGGAAACUGGGAAUUACUGGCCCAAACUGAUCUGGACUGGUCCAAACCGGUUCAGACUGGUCCAGGGAACUCAGAGAUACUGGGCCAAACUGGUCCAGAAUGGUUCAGACUGGUUCAGACUGGGUCAAACUGGUCCAGACUGGUCCAAACUGGGCCAAAGUGGCCCAAAAUGGUUCAGACUGGUCCAAACUGGUCCAAAGUGGGCCAAAGUGGCCCAAACUGGUUCAAACUGGUCCGUUCUGGUCCAAAGUGAACCAAAAUGGUUCAGACUGGUCCAAACUGAUCCCAACUGGGCCAAACUGGUCCGUACUGGGCCAAACUGGGCCAAACUGAUCCUAAGUGGUCCAAGGUGGCCCAAACUGGUCCAAACUGGUCCAAAGUGACCCAAAAUGGUUCAGACUGGUCCAAACUGACCCAAACUGGUCCGUACUGGUUUGUACUGGUGGGGGCAUCCCGGGGUUCCAG
rnacentral:lncRNA from 1 species